rnacentral:lncRNA from 1 species
GAGGGCUUGCUUCCCUGUGAACAUUUGAUGCACUCAUCAUGAAGUCUCAUGAGUAUCUCCCAUGUGCUAUCUGGCCUGUUCUCAGUGCGUCCCCAAGCCUAGCUGGGGCUGGACAAACCUGAAACCCUCCCUCAGCACCCCUAAAUGUUUGCCUUUCAUCUCUGUAAGGAUAGAGAAAGUACCUUGGUGACAGAGCCCUGUGUGGGCUGCUCAGCUGAGCCGGCUGGGAGUUGGCCCAGAGCCAUGGAGUGUGAGAAACUUUCAAAUUUCAAAACCGCCCUGGGCCAAUUUAAUAAACUUCUGCCACCUCCAUCCUCUCCACAGUUUUGAAUUCUCAAAUAUUCACACCCCCCCCCAUCUAAGAUGUGCACAGGAAUGGAAGGAUUUUGGAAUGUUAAUAAUGCAGAAUUUUACAGCAUAGCAAGGUGAAUUCUCAAGGGGUAAUGGUUAACAUCUGCUUUCUCUCUUUCCAAGAUAACAAUGAAGAAACCAAUCCACACAGCAAGCAGGAGUGCGAGAGAUGAGCCACCAGUCCCUCUGAAAAGGGGGAGGACAUCAUGAAGCUUGUAACUCUCUGUGCAACCUGAUUCUUGUUUCUGUGAGCUUCCCGUGAGCAUCUCUCCUCCACCCAGGAGGGAAGAUUUCAACUAGAAGUGAAUUACCACAGAACAGCUGGUAGCGCAUAUCUGUGGUCCCAAGAACUGGAGAGGUUGAGGCAGGAGGAUUGCUUGAACCCAGGAGUGCCAGACCAGCUUGGGCAACAGAAGGAGACUCUAUCUCAAAGAAAGAGAGAGGGGUGUGCCACAGGUGCUCGGGGAACCUAGAGGAGGGAGUCGGAUUCUGUCGAGCUGGAACUGUAUGAGGCUGUGAGCACCUGGUGUAGAAGCUGGGACCCAAACUCAACAUUCUCUGGAACCUAUUUGUGAUCACGGAGUUUGGAAAGAAACAAGGACCAGAUUCAUGCGGAAUGCAGGAGAGAAGGCAGAAUCCCUUAACAUAACACGGGCCUUUUGGUGCUGUAACAGAAUAAUAAAUCCUUGAGGAAUUCCCCAAGCAAAGGUGUCUGAUUACUGCUCUUCUUGCACUGGGAGGCUGACCUUCGACCUUGAGCCUGGGUGGACCACUGCCAUUGCUUUGAUUAAGAAACAUUGGAGGAAAUGAGGCUGCCUGACUUUGGAGGCCAGAUGGCCAUCUUGUCUAUUCUCUCUUUUGUCUCCUCUCACCUUGCCCCAAAACGCUGGCUGUCACCUGAGGGUAUCUGACUGCCAUGAAGCUGACACACUGGGGAAACCACAAGAGCCUGAGUAGAGAAAGAGAGAUGAUGGGGAGGUCAUCUUGCAGAGACAAGCCAGCCCCACCCUGUGCUGCUGCAGUCCCCAUGACCAUACUGAGUGCAGUACUUAUACCAUCACAUCUGGGGAUCAUUCGUUAUGUGUCCUAACUGGAACAGUGAGUCUGGUGGGGUCCUCAUCUCAGGCGGCCUAGAGCAUCCCUGGCUGGUGUUGCAAGCAGCAGGGUGUACUUUCAAAUGCAGUCCAACUCUGAUUUAGUUUCUAAUCAAGCUCUGGCUGGAACUCUCCAGAGUACCUCCCAUGAAGAAAAGGUCUGCAAAGCAAAUGGGAAUGGUAACAUCAGUGAAACCAGCUGUACAAGAGCAUGGCUGAUUUGACAGAGAUCCAGGUAGUUGCAUCACCUCACACCAACAACCUGAGUGUUCACCACCAGGCUGCAUCAGUUCAUCCAAGCAGGU